UACGUAGGGGGCAAGCGUUGUCCGGAAUCAUUGGGCGUAAAGAGCGUGUAGGCGGCCCGGUAAGUCCGCUGUGAAAGUCCAGGGCUCAACCCUGGGAUGCCGGUGGAUACUGUCGGGCUCGAGUCCGGAAGAGGAGUGUGGAAUUCCGUGGUGUAGCGGUGAAAUGCGCAGAUAUCAGGAGGAACACCGGUGGCGAAGGCGGGUCUCUGGGCCUUACCUGACGCUGAGGAGCGAAAGCGUGGGGAGCGAACAGG
rnacentral:rRNA from 1 species